rnacentral:rRNA from 1 species
AACCGGAUUAGAUACCCUGGUAGUCCACGCCCUAAACGAUGCAUAUUUGGUGUGGGUCAUUCAGUUGAUCCGUGCCGGAGCUAACGCGUUAAAUAUGCCGCCUGGGGAGUACAGUCGCAAGGCUGAAACUCAAAGGAAUUGACGGGGGCCCGCACAAGCGGUGGAGCAUGUGGUUUAAUUCGACGCAACGCGAAGAACCUUACCUGGGCUCGAAAUGCUACGGACCAGCUUAUGAAAGUUUACCUUCCCGCAAGGGACCGUAGUAUAGGUGCUGCAUGGCUGUCGUCAGCUCGUGUCGUGAGAUGUUGGGUUAAGUCCCGCAACGAGCGCAACCCUUGUCCUGUGUUGCCAUACCGAAAGGUGGAACUCGCAGGAGACCGCCAGGGAUAACCUGGAGGAAGGUGGGGAUGACGUCAAGUCCUCAUGGCCUUUAUGUCCAGGGCUACACACGUGCUACAAUGGUCGGUACAAAGGGUCGCCAACCCGCGAGGGGGAGCCAAUCCCAAAAAACCGUCCUCAGUUCGGAUUGCAGGCUGCAACUCGCCUGCAUGAAGCUGGAAUCGCUAGUAAUGGCGGAUCAGAACGCCGCCGUGAAUACGUUCCCGGGCCUUGUACACACCGCCCGUCACAUCACGAAAGUGGGUUGUACUAGAAGUUCGCGCGCUAACCCGCAAGGGAGGCAGCGGCCCAAGGUAUGACUCAUGAUUGGGGUGAAGUCGUAACAAGGUAGCCGUA